UACGUAGGGGGCAAGCGUUGUCCGGAUUUAUUGGGCGUAAAGAGCGUGUAGGCGGCCAGACAGGUCCGUUGUGAAAACUCGAGGCUCAACCUCGAGACGCCGAUGGAAACCGUUUGGCUAGAGUCCGGAAGAGGAGAGUGGAAUUCCUGGUGUAGCGGUGAAAUGCGCAGAUAUCAGGAAGAACACCCGUGGCGAAGGCGGCUUUCUAGUACGGUACUGACGCUGAGACGCGAAAGCGUGGGGAGCGAACAGG
rnacentral:rRNA from 1 species